rnacentral:lncRNA from 1 species
GUUUUGUUUACCAUAAUGUUCUCCAGGUUCCACAGUGUUGCCACGGAUGACCUGAUUUCAGUACCCAUGUCUGGCUGAAGAGUAUCUGGUUGUGACUGGAUACUGCAGUUUCUGGAUCUCAUCCUCUGUGGGUGGACAGGUUUCUCCAUCUUGCUGGUAGUGAACUGAUGUCCGGAAGUUUGAUGGCCGAAGAGUAUACCGUUGUGCAUAUAUCCUUCAAUUCCUGAUUUUAUCAUCUGUAGAAAGACAAGACAAAUGGCCACUCUGACCAGCGUGUGAUGGCACCGGUACCUCAUCUCUGAUGAUUGGUGAUGUUGAGCAUUCCCCAUGCCUGUUGGAAUGGCAAUCCCUUGGAAAUGUCUUCUCAAUAGUUACUACCCAUAGAGAACAGACCCUCCCAGUCUUCAGUGCACUCUAAAUACUGGCUAAUUCUGGCCAAUGGAAGGCAUCUGUGGAAGAAAAAAGCCUCAGAUCAUGUGCUGUCUGUCUUUAUUCAGUGUGACAUAUUAGGUAAUGGUCACAGACACUCACCAUGGCCCCAGUUUUUAAUAACAUGACCCUGCUUUUGUGUUCCAGUAACUUCUGUUGUUUUCCCAAUCCUAAGUAUGAUAGAAACUUCCUGCUGCUGCUAAUCUCUGGGUUCCAUUUAAAAUCCUUCCAUCACAUGAAUACUAUGCUGUGUUCUAAAUUUUUCCAUAAUUAAAUACUUACAAUUAUUUUUGCCUACUUCUUUUGCCCCUUAGUGAUAUGUUUUAAAAACACUUAUAAUGUGUCACAAUAUAUUUAGCAAAUGUAGGGAAUGACAUUUUUACUUUCGUCAGCAUUUACACUAGCAUUUAUGGAGCGAUGCUAUAUAAAGUAUUUUUAGUAAUUUAAACGUUAUAUAACAGAUAUCCGUUGAUUCCUUUGUUUCUACGUAAAUAAGUAUACUUGAGAUAUUCAGUAAACAGUAUUGAAUACAUGUUUCAUUUGUAUAAUAUAAAAUUAUGAUUAUUCUUUUUAAACAGUACAUCAUAUUUGCUUGUUGGCUUUAUGAUAACUUAGAAAUAAUAUUCUGGAUUAACUGUGUGACUCAUGAGAAGAUUUGUGCAACUAUGUUUCCAAAUUUACUUGAUUUUCAAGACUUACACUAGAACUGUGAGAACAGGGUAAUAAAUAAGCAUAUGUAUUAAUAUCACCUUUGGUCAACUCUUGGGUAGCCCCAACGGUAGUGUAGGAAUUAACGUAAUUUUUCCUACUAAAAGUAUUGGAUUUGUUUUGAGAGACCACAGUUGAAAAUCAUUGACAUACAAAGUUUAAAAAUUGUUAGGUUAAAAAAUUUUAAAUGCAUUUGAAGUGGUUUUAUAGAAAAAUAAUUAUCUAACUUGGUUUAUAUUGACAGGUUGUUUUCUUGGAUAAGAACUAGACGAAGAGAAAGGGAGAUUAGUGAUAAAUGUCCAGGUUUUCAAGUUGAAAAGUAACAAUCAGUGUAUUACAACAGAUGGAUGUGAUGUCAAAUUACAAAUGCUGAAAACGUUAUAUGUAAUCAUGUAGCCAGAGUAAUCAUACAAGGCAAAGAACGGAAAGGCAUCCAAAUAGGAAAGAGGCUGGAAUGCAGUGGCACCAUCUCAGCUCACUGCAACCUCCGCCUCCGGGUUCAAGUGCUGCUCCUGCCUCAGUCUCCCAAGUAGCUGGGACUACAGGUGCGUGCCACCACGCCCGGCUAAUUUUUGUAUU